AUGUGCAUUGUGUGACAUCAUAUAUACUACAAUCGGAAUAAUACAGAGAAGAUUAGCAUGUUCCUUGUGCAUGGGUGACAUACUAAUUCAUGAAGUGUUUCAUAUUAAA